CCCUUAGAUGUUCGGGGCCGCACGCGCGCUACACUGAAGGAAUCAGCACGUCUUUCUCCUUGUCCGAAAGGACUGGGUAACCCGCUGAACCUCCUUCGUGCUAGGGAUUGGGGCUUGUAAUUCUUCCCCAUGAACGAGGAAUUCCCAGUAAGCGCGAGUCAUAAGCUCGCGUUGAUUACGUCCCUGCCCUUUGUACACACCGCCCGUCGCUACUACCGAUUGGAUGGUUUAGUGAGAUCCUCGGAUUGGUCCCGGCGCGGCCUCUGGUCGUGCCGGAGUGCCGAAAAGAAUGUCGAACUUGAUCAUCUAGAGGAGGUAAAAGUCGUAACA
rnacentral:rRNA from 1 species